UACGUAGGUGGCAAGCGUUGUCCGGAAUUAUUGGGCGUAAAGCGCGCGCAGGCGGUUCCUUAAGUCUGAUGUGAAAGCCCACGGCUCAACCGUGGAGGGUCAUUGGAAACUGAGGAACUUGAGUGCAGAAGAGAAGAGCGGAAUUCCACGUGUAGCGGUGAAAUGCGUAGAGAUGUGGAGGAACACCAGUGGCGAAGGCGGCUCUUUGGUCUGUAACUGACGCUGAGGCGCGAAAGCGUGGGGAUCAAACAGG
rnacentral:rRNA from 1 species